GACAGAGGAUGCAAGCGUUAUCCGGAAUGAUUGGGCGUAAAGCGUCUGUAGGUGGCUUUUAAGUCCGCCGUCAAUCCCAGGCUCAACCCUGGACAGGCGGUGGAAACUACCAAGCUGGAGUACGGUAGGGCAGAGGGAAUUUCCGGUGGAGCGGUGAAUGCGUAGAGAUCGGAAAGAACACCAACGGCGAAGCACUCUGCUGGGCCGACACUGACACUGAGAGACGAAAGCUAGGGGAGCGAAUGGG
rnacentral:rRNA from 1 species